rnacentral:rRNA from 1 species
UACAGAGGUGCCAAGCGUUGUUCGGAUUUAUUGGGCGUAAAGGGUGCGUAGGCGGUCGCGCAAGUCGGAUGUGAAAUCCCGGAGCCUAACUCCGGAACGGCAUUCGAAACUGCGCGGCUCGAGGUCUGGAGAGGUGACUGGAAUUCUCGGUGUAGCAGUGAAAUGCGUAGAUAUCGAGAGGAACACCAGAGGCGAAAGCGGGUCACUGGACAGAACCUGACGCUGAGGCACGAAAGCCAGGGGAGCAAACGGG